GCCAGACUCCUACGGGAGGCAGCAGUGGGGAAUAUUGCACAAUGGGGGGAACCCUGAUGCAGCGACGCCGCGUGGGUGAAGGAGUAUUUCGGCAUGUAAAGCCCUAUCAGCAGGGAAGAACAAUGACGGUACCUGACUAAGAAGCACCGGCUAAAUACGUGCCAGCAGCCGCGGUAAUACGUAGGGGGCAAGCGUUAUCCGGAUUUACUGGGUGUAAAGGGAGCGUAGACGGCUAAUCAAGUCAGAAGUGAAAACCCAGGGCUCAACCUUGGGAGUGCUUUUGAAACUGAGUAGCUAGAGUGCAGGAGAGGUAAGCGGAAUUCCUAGUGUAGCGGUGAAAUGCGUAGAUAUUAGGAGGAACACCAGUGGCGAAGGCGGCUUACUGGACUGUAACUGACGUUGAGGCUCGAAAGCGUGGGGAGCAAACAGGAUUAGAUACCCCGGUAAAA
rnacentral:rRNA from 1 species